UACGGAGGGUGCAAGCGUUAUCCGGAUUCACUGGGUUUAAAGGGUGCGUAGGUGGGUCUGUAAGUCCGUGGUGAAAUCUCCGAGCUUAACUUGGAAACUGCCAUGGAUACUAUAGAUCUUGAAUACUGUGGAGGUUAGCGGAAUAUAUCAUGUAGCGGUGAAAUGCUUAGAUAUGACAUAGAACACCAAUUGCGAAGGCAGCUGGCUACACAAAUAUUGACACUGAUGCACGAAAGCGUGGGGAUCAAACAGG
rnacentral:rRNA from 1 species